rnacentral:tRNA from 1 species
GCGCGUGUAGCUCAGCGGUAGAGCACCCGGCUGUUAAUCGGGUGGUCGAUGGUU